rnacentral:rRNA from 1 species
GACGUAGGGCGCGAGCGUUGUCCGGAUUUAUUGGGCGUAAAGAGCUCGUAGGCGGUUUGUCGCGUCGAAUGUGAAAACCCGGGGCUCAACCCCGGGCCUGCAUUCGAUACGGGCAGACUAGAGUUCGGUAGGGGAGUCUGGAAUUCCUGGUGUAGCGGUGAAAUGCGCAGAUAUCAGGAGGACACCGGUGGCGAAGGCGGGAUCUCUGGGC